AUUGAACGCUGGCGGAAUGCUUUACACAUGCAAGUCGAACGGUAACAGGUCUUCGGAUGCUGACGAGUGGCGAACGGGUGAGUAAUAUAUCGGAACGUGCCCAGUCGUGGGGGAUAACGUAGCGAAAGUUACGCUAAUACCGCAUACGAUCUAUGGAUGAAAGCGGGGGAUCGCAAGACCUCGCGCGAUUGGAGCGGCCGAUAUCAGAUUAGGUAGUUGGUGGGGUAAAGGCUCACCAAGCCAACGAUCUGUAGCUGGUCUGAGAGGACGACCGGCCACACUGGAACUGAGACACGGUCCAGACUCCUACGGGAGGCAGCAGUGGGGAAUUUUGGACAAUGGACGCAAGUCUGAUCCAGCCAUUCCGCGUGCAGGAUGAAGGCCCUCGGGUUGUAAACUGCUUUUGUACGGAACGAAAAGGUCUCUCCUAAUGCGAGGGGCUCAUGACGGUACCGUAAGAAUAAGCACCGGCUAACUACGUGCCAGCAGCCGCAGUAAAAC
rnacentral:rRNA from 1 species